AUAUAUCUAUUAAUAAAUUAUUGUAGUCAAACUACAAUUAAUGAUAAGUACACAUGUGAUCAAAGUAGAGUGCCAAAUGUCGCAUUGGUAGGCAAAGUUAGAAAAAACCUUCUUUUAUAUAAUAAGAUAUAUAUAUAUAGAUAUAUGUAUAGAGUUAAGCGGUGACGUUGCCUAAAAGGCUAAAAUAAUGCGUGAAGUGACAUGUAUGUUAGAUUCUCUGUUUGAUCUUUCUGAUAAAGAAAAGGUAAGUUUCUGAUG
rnacentral:sRNA from 1 species